UGGGUCCCGUGCCUCUUUCCCCAGAGCACCAGCUCAAAGCCCGCCCUGUAGGCCAUGAGCACAGAGACCUGUAACCCUGGGUGCCAACAGCUUGCUCAGCUCGGCUCCUGGGCCCAGCUAGUGCUCUGCACACAGCGGAGCUCCUCCUCCUCCUCAAGUCCUUGUGCCAUCCCAGGAGCUCUUCCCCAGGCAGCAGUGAGGAAACAGUCCCAUAACAAAGACGCUGGGGCAGUUUGAGAAACUCGGAAGCUGUGCUUGUCACUCGGGCACUGUCCUGACGCCAGGGCCUGGCACCAGCUCACUCCGGUCGGGGCUCAGAACACGCUGCCACCACUGCCUGGACCAUGUCCCCACCUGCUUCACAGGAGAGCACAGCCCGAGGCUAAGGCCCCCAGGCUCGGGGCGUUCAGCCAGGGCCAUGAUGGUUCCUCAAACUGCGUGGCUUUCUCCCUCCCCCAAAGGGUGAGAUUGGAAAAUAAUCAUUGGAGAGCGUUGACUAAAUGAAACAAUGCAUAUUGCACAACCCAGCAACCUGGGAGCCAUUUUAACACCUGACUCUUGCUUAUUCCUUGCAUCCAAUUCAAAAUAAACCCUGUCAACCUCA